AUGGCAUGUCGUGUCUACCUCUCUGCCAAGGGCUGAAACCAUCCCUCGCUUUCAACUUCAGUUUUUAAUCACACCUGAAGUGAACAUUCAGUCAUUUCACCUGUUCAGACUCAUUUCAGACGGGGUUUCCAUUUUGUUUUUCUGUCCCAGCUCUGUUAGCGGCAGCGUGUGUGUGAGCGAAGGAGUGUGUGGACUAUGCUCACUUCAGUCGAUUGAAGGAGGGGGAGUGGAGGACUUGAUACUGUGGAGAGAGAGAACUCCACGACGGGGAACUGAUUGUACAGGACCUCUGAGGAUCCCUGGCUGCAUGCCUCCAGGACAAAUCUAAAGAUGCAAAGAGCUGCCACAGCAUCCGUGACCCAGUCCACAACCACACAGAACACCACAGUCGUCACCAAGUCUAGAGAACAAAUCCUCACGCAGAGUAAGUUUCAAAUCUGUACUUUAUACAA
rnacentral:lncRNA from 1 species